CGUAAUACCGGGAUAACCUGGGGAAACCGAGGCUAAGCCCGGAUAGGCUCCUUUACCGCAUGGGAGAGGAGGGAAAGGGUGCGACCCGAUUACGGAGGGGCCUGCGGCGCAUUAGCUAGUUGGUGAGGUAACGGCCCACCAAGGCGAUGAUGCGUAGCCGACCUGAGAGGGUGACCGGCCACACUGGGACUGAGAGACGGCCCAGACUCCUACGGGAGGCAGCAGUAGGGAAUCUUCGGCAAUGGGCGAAAGCCUGACCGAGCAACGCCGCGUGAGUGAGGAAGGCCUUCGGGUUGUAAAACUCUGUUGUUUGGGAAGAAGGGAAAGGGUAGGCCCCUUAGGUGACGGUACCAAACGAGAAAGCCCCGGCUAACUACGUGCCAGCAGCCGCGGUAAUACGUAGGGGGCGAGCGUUGUCCGGAAUGAUUGGGCGUAAAGCGCGCGCAGGCGGUCCUUUAAGUCUGAUGUGAAAGCCCGCGGCUUAACCGCGGAAGGUCAUUGGAAACUGGGGGACUUGAGGCUAGGAGAGGGAAGUGGAAUUCCUGGUGUAGCGGUGAAAUGCGUAGAGAUCAGGAGGAAUACCGAUGGCGAAGGCAGCUUUCUGGCCUAGAACUGACGCUGAGGCGCGAAAGCGUGGGGAGCAAACAGGAUUAGAUAACCUGGUAGUCCACGCCGUAAACGAUGAGUGCUAGGUGUGAGGGGUUUCAAGGCCCUUCGUGCCGCAGUACACACAAUAAGCACUCCGCCUGGGGAGUACGGUCGCAAGACUGAAACUCAAAGGAAUUGACGGGGGCCCGCACAAGCGGUGGAGCAUGUGGUUUAAUUCGAAGCAACGCGAAGAACCUUACCAGGGCUUGACAUCCCUCUGACGGGAGUAGAGAUACUUCGUCCCUUCGGGGCAGAGGAGACAGGUGGUGCAUGGUUGUCGUCAGCUCGUGUCGUGAGAUGUUGGGUUAAGUCCCGCAACGAGCGCAACCCUAAUCACUAGUGAAUUC
rnacentral:rRNA from 1 species